rnacentral:rRNA from 1 species
GGAAGACCAAGGGUUCCUGUCCAACGUUAAUCGGGGCAGGGUGAGUCGACCCCUAAGGCGAGGCCGAAAGGCGUAGUCGAUGGGAAACAGGUUAAUAUUCCUGUACUUGGUGUUACUGCGAAGGGGGGACGGAGAAGGCUAUGUUGGCCGGGCGACGGUUGUCCCGGUUUAAGCGUGUAGGCUGGUUUUCCAGGCAAAUCCGGAAAACCAAGGCUGAGGCGUGAUGACGAGGCACUACGGUGCUGAAGCGACAAAUGCCCUGCUUCCAGGAAAAGCCUCUAAGCAUCAGGUAACAUCAAAUCGUACCCCAAACCGACACAGGUGGUCAGGUAGAGAAUACCAAGGCGCUUGAGAGAACUCGGGUGAAGGAACUAGGCAAAAUGGUGCCGUAACUUCGGGAGAAGGCACGCUGAUAUGUAGGUGAAGCGACUUGCUCGUGGAGCUGAAAUCAGUCGAAGAUACCAGCUGGCUGCAACUGUUUAUUAAAAACACAGCACUGUGCAAACACGAAAGUGGACGUAUACGGUGUGACGCCUGCCCGGUGCCGGAAGGUUAAUUGAUGGGGUUAGCGGUAACGCGAAGCUCUUGAUCGAAGCCCCGGUAAACGGCGGCCGUAACUAUAACGGUCCUAAGGUAGCGAAAUUCCUUGUCGGGUAAGUUCCGACCUGCACGAAUGGCGUAAUGAUGGCCAGGCUGUCUCCACCCGAGACUCAGUGAAAUUGAACUCGCUGUGAAGAUGCAGUGUACCCGCGGCAAGACGGAAAGACCCCGUGAACCUUUACUAUAGCUUGACACUGAACAUUGAGCCUUGAUGUGUAGGAUAGGUGGGAGGCUUUGAAGUGUGGACGCCAGUCUGCAUGGAGCCGACCUUGAAAUACCACCCUUUAAUGUUUGAUGUUCUAACGUUGGCCCGUAAUCCGGGUUGCGGACAGUGUCUGGUGGGUAGUUUGACUGGGGCGGUCUCCUCCUAAAGAGUAACGGAGGAGCACGAAGGUUGGCUAAUCCUGGUCGGACAUCAGGAGGUUAGUGCAAUGGCAUAAGCCAGCUUGACUGCGAGCGUGACGGCGCGAGCAGGUGCGAAAGCAGGUCAUAGUGAUCCGGUGGUUCUGAAUGGAAGGGCCAUCGCUCAACGGAUAAAAGGUACUCCGGGGAUAACAGGCUGAUACCGCCCAAGAGUUCAUAUCGACGGCGGUGUUUGGCACCUCGAUGUCGGCUCAUCACAUCCUGGGGCUGAAGUAGGUCCCAAGGGUAUGGCUGUUCGCCAUUUAAAGUGGUACGCGAGCUGGGUUUAGAACGUCGUGAGACAGUUCGGUCCCUAUCUGCCGUGGGCGCUGGAGAACUGAGGGGGGCUGCUCCUAGUACGAGAGGACCGGAGUGGACGCAUCACUGGUGUUCGGGUUGUCAUGCCAAUGGCACUGCCCGGUAGCUAAAUGCGGAAGAGAUAAGUGCUGAAAGCAUCUAAGCACGAAACUUGC